rnacentral:rRNA from 1 species
UGGGGGAUAUUGCACAAUGGGCGAAAGCCUGAUGCAGCGACGCCGCGUGGGGGAUGAAGGCUUUCGGUUUGUAAACCUCUUUCGCUAUCGAACAAGGCCCGCUUAGGGUGGGUUGAGGGUAGGUGGAGAAGAAGCGCCGGCUAACUACGUGCCAGCAGCCGCGGUAAUACGUAGGGCGCGAGCGUUUUCCGGAAUUAUUUGGCGUAAAGGGCUUGUAGGCGGCUUGUUGCGCCUGCUGUGAAAACGCGGGGCUUAACUUCGCGCGUGCAGUGGGUACGGGCAGGCUUGAGUGUGGUAGGGGUGACUGGAAUUCCAGGUGUAGCGGUGGAAUGCGCAGAUAUCUGGAGGAACACCGAUGGCGAAGGCAGGUCACUGGGCCAUUACUGACGCUGAGGAGCGAAAGCAUGGGUAGAGAACAGG